GACGAACGCUGGCGGCGUGCUUAACACAUGCAAGUCGAACGGAAAGGCCCUGCUUUUGUGGGGUGCGCGAGUGGCGAACGGGUAAUUAACAAGUGAGUAAUCUGCCGUUGACUACGGGAUCACUUCAGGAAACUGGCGCUAAUACCGGAUAGGAGCUCCUGCUGCAUGGUGGUUGUCGGAAUGUUUGGGCGGUUGGGGAUGGACUCGCGGGUUAUCAGCUCGUUGGUGGGUUAGUGGCUUACCAAGUCUUGGACGGACAGCCGGCCUGAGAGGGUGACCGACCAGAUUGGGACGGACAUACGGCCGAGACACCUUCGGGAGGCAGCAGUGGGGAAUAAUGAACAAUGGGCGGAAGCCUGAUGCAGCAACGCCGCGUGCGGGAUGACGGCCGUCGGGUUGUAUGCCGCCUUCGCCUGUGACUGAGCGUGAGUGACGGUAAUGAGUGAAGAAGCAACGGCUAACUACGUG
rnacentral:rRNA from 1 species